rfam:Nomascus leucogenys chromosome 13, whole genome shotgun sequence.
UUCUGCCCAGGGCUCUGAAAGUCAAAGUAAAGAAAUUCAAUAAAGUGAGGGUAACACAGGGAGUAAAGAUGACUUUCAAGGUAGCCAAAUGCCCCACCAUCUAAAUAAUGACACCCAUCAAUGAA